AGGAGGUCGGAAUUUUUAAUGAAU
rnacentral:miRNA from 1 species